rnacentral:rRNA from 1 species
UACGAAGGGGGCUAGCGUUGUUCGGAAUCACUGGGCGUAAAGGGCGCGUAGGCGGCCGAUCAAGUCGGGGGUGAAAGCCUGUGGCUCAACCACAGAAUUGCCUUCGAUACUGUUUGGCUUGAGACCGGAAGAGGUAAGUGGAACUGCGAGUGUAGAGGUGAAAUUCGUAGAUAUUCGCAAGAACACCAGUGGCGAAGGCGGCUUACUGGUCCGGUUCUGGACGCUGAGG